ACGAACGCUGGCGGCGUGCUUAACACAUGCAAGUCGAACGGAAAGGCCCUGCUUUUGUGGGGUGCUCGAGUGGCGAACGGGUGAGUAACACGUGAGUAACCUGCCCUUGAUUUUGGGAUAACUUCAGGAAACUGGGGCUAAUACCGGAUAGGAGCUCCUGCUGCCUGGUGGGGGUUGGAAAGUUUCGGCGGUUGGGGAUGGACUCGCGGCUUAUCAGCUUGUUGGUGGGGUAGUGGCUUACCAAGGCUUUGACGGGUAGCCGGCCUGAGAGGGUGACCGGCCACAUUGGGACUGAGAUACGGCCCAGACUCCUACGGGAGGCAGCAGUGGGGAAUAGUGCACAAUGGGCGGAAGCCUGAUGCAGCAACGCCGCGUGCGGGAUGACGGCCUUCGGGUUGUAAACCGCUUUCGCCUGUGACGAAGCGUGAGUGACGGUAAUGGGUAAAGAAGCACCGGCUAACUACGUG
rnacentral:rRNA from 1 species